rnacentral:rRNA from 1 species
GUUCAGGGGUAAACCUGAGAAAUCCGAAAGAUCGAAUGGGGACAUUCAGCGCGUCUCGUCUGGCGGCGAGCUCAGGUUGCGAGACGAUCGGGCGUUCGCGCCCUCGAUCGCUCCUAUCGAAGCCGUUUAACCGUUGGCGAACGCGUGCACUUCUCCCCUAGUAGGACGUCGCGACCCGUUGGGUGCCGGUCUAAGGUGCGCGGUGGAGCCCGUCGGGGUACAUUUUACAUGUAUCCUUGCGGACCCGCGGUAUCCCGACCGGCCCGCUCGACGGUAGAACGAUGGCGUAUGGACGCGCGUUUGUUCGCGCCCCGGCCCGUUGCAAGCGCGACCGUUGUUUAACCCGGAUAUCGGACCUGUGUGCCGGUACCGGGCGCGGGCGGCUGUUGGCGACGGUGUCCUUGGGCGGUCCAUGAUACACGCCCGUCGGCGACGCUCUAGCUUUGGAUACUUUCAGGACCCGUCUUGAAACACGGACCAAGGAGUCUAGCAUGUGCGCGAGUCAUUGAGAUAUAUAAACUAAACUUAAAGGCACAAUGAAAGUGAAGGCCGCCUUGCGCGUGCCUAGGGAAGACCGGUGUUUCGGCAUAAAAGCCGCGCCGUGCACUCCCGGGGCGUCUCGCACUCAUCGCGAGUUGAGGCGCACCCAGAGCGUACACGCUGGGACCCGA